rnacentral:rRNA from 1 species
UACGGAGGAUGCGAGCGUUAUCCGGAUUUAUUGGGUUUAAAGGGUGCGCAGGCGGAUUUUUAAGUCAGCGGUCAAAUCGUGGGGCUCAACCCCAUCCAGCCGUUGAAACUGGGGAUCUAGAGUGUGCGAGAGGUAAGCGGAAUGCGUGGUGUAGCGGUGAAAUGCAUAGAUAUCACGCAGAACCCCGAUUGCGAAGGCAGCGUACCGGCCGGUCACUGACGCUGAGGCACGAAAGCGUGGGUAUCGAACAGG